CUGUACACCUGAAACUAAAAUAAAUCAACUACACGUCAAUCAAAAAAUAAAAAUUUUUUAAUGUAAAAAAAUAAAUGCUUAAGACUAUUUUAAAAAACCAAAUAUUCUUUAAGUCUGUUUUAACCAUGAUUUGUUUUGUCCCCCUCAACCACAACAUUAAUUAGGACUCUUGGCGAGAAGCACUUUGGGCAUGUCCGUGUGUUGCCAGUGACCCUCAGCCAGAGAAACAGGAAAACAAAGCAAGAAAAGGCAGCAACAGUACAAAUGAGCGUUGGCUGCUUGCGGGAUAUUGCAAAACCAUGGAGUAUUUGCAUGCAUUUGUUGACUAAAAUCAUUGAAAAUCAACCUAGGAAUUAGAUAACAACAACAACAACAAAUCAUUGGAACAUCCGUGCAGUGACGUUGUGUAGACAUUAAGAGUGAGUCAGAUCUCUAACAGGGAAAAGCACUGUCUAAAUCAACGGACAUACGAAGCUUUGGAAGUUGAAGCCAAGUUGAGCAAUCAUCCUUGCAGACAUGGGGACAGAUCUGAAAACAGUAAGAAGAUCCUUAAACAAGAAGCAACCAAAGCCACAACAAACAACCCAGAGAAAGAAUCGCAUAGGACGCCAUAGAGGAGCAACUCGGGUGCUAAUAACAGGCAUCUCAACCCAACCAUGACUUGCUCCUCAGCACCCCAGCGACUAAGGCUGCUCCCCAGGGCUCAGUGAUGGGGAGCUCCGCUGACCAGUGUUUGUAUUCUGGUAUAUUUAUUUGCUCUUAAGAUACUAAACACACACACACACACACACACACACACACACACACCACCCUCUCAUUUCUUAGGAUUCAAAUAUUCUCUUUUUUUUCCUAUAAAGUCCAUAAUUUAAAAGGCCGUUGGUGAUACUUUUAUGUAGAGAUUUCAGCAUUAGAUACUAACUACCAAUAACCAAAAUCUGGUACCUGGUGUGAGUAAAACCCAGUAAGUAGCACUAUAUGAGUUAGUUACAGCCACAUAACAAAUUAACCCAAACCUUAGUGACUUAAAGCAAGUUAUUAUUUAUUGUCUCUCAUAGUUUCUGUAGGCCAGGCAUGUGGGUGACAGAGGGAAUACAGUUUUAUCUCUGCUCCACAAGGACUGGGGCCUCAGCUGGAAGGCUUGCAGUGUGAAAGCUGGAAUCAUCUGAGGGCUCGUUCACUCUCACGUGUGAAAAUUGAUGCUGGCUGUCAGCUGAGGGCUUGACUGGGACAUCGGUUAGAACCUCCACACAUGGCUUCUCCAUGCAGCCUGGGCCUCCUCACAGUGUGGCAGCUGGGAUCCGCCGGCAAGCAUCCCCAAAGAGAGAACCAGGAGAAGCUGUGUCCUUACUAUGAUCUAAUCUGGAAAUCACACAGGUUUGCUUCCACCAUACUCCAUUGAUCAAGGUGGUCACAAGCCCCUACCCAGACCGAAGUGGAAAGAACACAGACUCAUAUCUCAAUGGGAUGGACAUCAGCCACACAGUAAGAAGAGCAUUUAGAGAGGGAUAUGUGUGUAGGUGUGGCCAUCUUUGGAAAAUACAACCUACCCUUACAGAAUUCUGCUUUAAAGCUGAUUUUUGUAGGAAAAUGCUCCAUGGUGCAAAGAUUUCAUGUACAAGAAAGUCUUAGGUGGAUCCUAACAGACAAAGUUGGAACAUUCGGUGUCUGGUGACAUGGUAGGAGAUAGGGUUAGGAAGGUACAUUAGAGCCAGAUGACAGAGAGUCCUAAAGGACACAUUGAAAGUGUGCUCUUUAUUCCAGGGACACUGAGGAACCACAGGAGUAUUUGCAGCAAAGAUUGCCCUCAUGGCCCUGGAGAGGAUGGAUUAGAGAAAGGAGAGGCAAGAGGGAGGGAGACCAAUUGGGAGCUCAUUAAAGUGGUCCAGGGCUGAGAAAGCAAAGCUGGAAGUGGCAAAGUUUACUUCGCCAGCCUGUCAGAGACGUCACACUGUUGGGACAGGGAUUUCAGUAAAGGCCAAGUCUAAAGCAGUGAGGAGGGAAGGGGCGUUCUUGGUCCCUUUGGAAGUGACUGACCUUCACAGCAUGCUGACCAUCAGACUAGCGCUAGGAUACACGAGAUGCAAAUCAGUCCCUGAAGUGCGAUGAAAGCUCAUCUUGAUGCUGACCAGAGGAUGCACUAGGAGAGCAAACGAGGCAGGAAGACAGGGUUUAUGACAGACCAGUCAAGAAGUGACAAGGUGGUGACCCAGGAGAGUGGGAGCGGAUAAAAAUUCUACAAGUCCAAAAAAGAGUUGGCCCUAAAGCCAAUGAUAGCUGUCUUCCUAGGAGACAGAAGGGGAGAAGACAUAGAGACACACGCAGGGGACAAGGCCACAUGAAGAAGGAAGCAGAGAUUGAAGUCGUGCUGCCACAGCCACAGAGUGCUGAGACCCACCAGCAGGAGGGAUCUUUGGAGGGAGCAUGGCCCCACCAACAACUCGCUUUCAGGCUUCUUCUGGUCUCUAGAACCAUGAGAGAAUAAAUUCCUGU